rnacentral:rRNA from 1 species
UACAGAGGGUGCUAGCGUUGUUCGGAAUCAUUGGGCGUAAAGGGCGUGUAGGCGGUUUGUUAAGUCAUGUGUGAAAUCCCUCGGCUCAACCGGGGAAGGACGCAUGAAACUGGCAAGCUAGAGUACCAAAGAGGGGGGUGGAAUUCCCGGUGUAGCGGUGAAAUGCGUAGAGAUGCGGAGGAACACCGAUGGCGAAGGCAGCCCCCUGGGUCGACACUGACGCUCAGGCACGAAAGCGUGGGGAGCAAACAGG